rnacentral:rRNA from 1 species
GGAUUAGAUACCCGGGUAGUCCUAGCCUUAAACGAUGCAUACUAGGUGUAGGGGGGCUCAACCCCUUCUGUACCGGAGCUAACGCAUUAAGUAUGCCGCCUGGGGAGUACGCUCGCAAGGGUGAAACUCAAAAGAAUUGACGGGGGCCCGCACAAGCAGUGGAGCAUGUGGUUUAAUUCGAUGCAACGCGAAGAACCUUACCUGGGCUCGAAAUGUAGAGGACCGCAUCAGAGAUGAUGCUUCCCGAAAGGGUCUCUAUAUAGGUGCUGCAUGGCUGUCGUCAGCUCGUGCCGUGAGGUGUUUGGUUAAGUCCAGCAACGAGCGCAACCCUUAUCGUUAGUUGCCAACGCGUAAUGGCGGGAACUCUAACGAGACUGCCUAGGUUAACUAGGAG